rfam:Triticum aestivum genome assembly, contig: Triticum_aestivum_CS42_TGACv1_scaffold_228249_3B
UUCAUACUCCCUCCGUUCGGAAUUACUUAUCACAAAAGUGGAUGUAUCUAAAACUAAAAUACAUCUAGAUACAUUCAUUUCUUGGAUGAGUAAUUCCGAACGGAGGAAGUACAUG